rnacentral:rRNA from 1 species
AUUGAACGCUGGCGGCAGGCCUAACACAUGCAAGUCGAACGAGUCGGGCGCGGGUGAGAUAUGUGUGGGACACUCCCAGAUGGAGGGGUAUCUCCACUGGAAACGGUAGCUAAUCCCGCAUACCAUCAUGUGCGCCCAGAUGGGAUUCGCUUGUUGGGGGGGUAACGGCUCACCAAGGCGACGACCCCUAGCUGGUCUGAGAGGAUGACCAGCCACACUGGAACUGAGACACGGUCCAGACUCCUACGGGAGGCAGCAGUGGGGAAUAUUGCACAAUGGGCGCAAGCCUGAUGCAGCCAUGCCGCGUGUAUGAAGAAGGCCUUCGGGUUGUAAAGUACUUUCAGCGGGGAGGCGUUACCCGCAGAAGAAGCACCGGCUAACUCCGUGCCAGCAGCCGCGGUAAUAC